AUUGAACGCUGGCGGCAGGCCUAACACAUGCAAGUCGAGCGGUAGCACAAGGAGCUUGCUCCUGGGUGACGAGCGGCGUACGGGUGAGUAAUGUCUGGGAAACUGCCCGAUGGAGGGGGAUAACUACUGGAAACGGUAGCUAAUACCGCAUAACGUCUUCGGACCAAAGUGGGGGACCUUCGGGCCUCACACCAUCGGAUGUGCCCAGAUGGGAUUAGCUAGUAGGUGAGGUAAUGGCUCACCUAGGCGACGAUCCCUAGCUGGUCUGAGAGGGUGACCAGCCACGCUGGAACUGAGACACGGUCCAGACUCCUACGGGAGGCAGCAGUGGGGAAUAUUGCACAAUGGGCGCAAGCCUGAUGCAGCCAUGCCGCGUGCGUGAAGAAGGCCUUCGGGUUGUAAAGCACUUUCAGCGAGGAGGAAGGGUUCGGUGUUAAUAGCACCGUUCAUUGACGUUACUCGCAGAAGAAGCACCGGCUAACUCCGUGCCAGCAGCCGCCGUAA
rnacentral:rRNA from 1 species